rnacentral:misc_RNA from 1 species
CAGAACCCUAGUUUUCGAAACAGCUGAGAUGGAGACCGGAUCCAAGGCCAAGAAGGGCGCUGGCGGACGCAAGGGCGGUCCAAAGGCUAAAUCGGUGAGUCGUUCUGUAAAGGCCGGACUUCAGUUUCCUGUUGGCAGGAUUGGGCGGUACCUCAAGAAGGGUCGCUAUGCUCAGCGUGUUGGUUCAGGAGCUCCUGUCUACCUUGCUGCCGUCCUUGAGUAUCUUGCUGCUGAGGUUCUUGAAUUGGCGGGCAAUGCGGCCAGGGACAAUAAGAAAAAUCGAAUUGUGCCUCGACAUGUGUGUUUGGCGGUGAGAAAUGACGAGGAGCUUGGGAGGUUGUUGGGUGGUGUUACCAUUGCCCAUGGCGGAGUCCUCCCCAACAUUAACCCAGUCUUGCUGCCAAAGAAGACCGGAAAGGAGGGUACAGAGCCCAAGUCACCAAAGAAAGCUACCAAGUCCCCCA